rnacentral:rRNA from 1 species
GACUGGGAUAACUCCGGGAAACCGGAGCUAAUACCGGAUAGUUCCUUGAACCAUGCGGUUCAAGGA